rnacentral:lncRNA from 1 species
AUAGUUCUAAUGACUAGGAAGUCCAAGAUGAAGGUGCCAGCAUUUUAAGUUGUUUAAUAAGGACUGCACAUUCCAGAGAGAAGAAAAGCUGUGUUCUCACAAGGCAAAAGGUGGAAGGGCAAGCUAGCUGAGCACUGCACAAAGCCUCUUUUAUUAGCGCCUUAAUUCCAUUCCUGGGGCAGGAGACCUCAUGGCCUAAUCAGUUCUUAAAGGCCCCACCUCAGCACAUCACAAUUGGUAACAUCUGAAUUUUGGAGAGAACCCAUUCAAACCACAGCAGUCCAAUAGUUCCAGAAAUCCUUGUGAACAUUACAACAUAGGUCCAAGUCUUUUGAACUUUUUAAGUCUGAAUCUUCCUAUCUACAAUAUGGGAAUAAUACUCAUUGGAGAUUAUGAAAUGAAAAGCACUUUUGGAAAAAAGACCUCUGAGAAUUCUUUUCUUCACGAAUAA